rnacentral:rRNA from 1 species
UGGGGAAUAUUGGACAAUGGGCGAAAGCCUGAUCCAGCCAUGCCGCGUGUGUGAAGAAGGUCUUCGGAUUGUAAAGCACUUUAAGUUGGGAGGAAGGGCAGUAAGCGAAUACCUUGCUGUUUUGACGUUACCGACAGAAUAAGCACCGGCUAACUCUGUGCCAGCAGCCGCGGUAAUACAGAGGGUGCAAGCGUUAAUCGGAAUUACUGGGCGUAAAGCGCGCGUAGGUGGUUCGUUAAGUGGAAAGUGAAAGCCCCGGGCUAAACCUGGGAACUGCAUCCAAAACUGGCGAGAUAGAGUAGGGAAGAGGGUGGUGGAAGUUCCUGUGUAGCGGUGAAAUGCGUAGAUCUAGGAAGUAACACCAGUGACGAAGGCGACCACCUGGGCUCAUACUGACACUGAGGUUCGAAAGCGUGGAGAGCAAACAGG